GAUGAACGCUGGCGGCGUGCCUAAUACAUGCAAGUCGAGCGAACAGAUAAGGAGCUUGCUCCUUUGACGUUAGCGGCGGACGGGUGAGUAACACGUGGAUAACCUACCUAUAAGACUGGGAUAACUUCGGGAAACCGGAGCUAAUACCGGAUAACAUAUUGAACCGCAUGGUUCAAUAGUGAAAGGCGGCUUUGCUGUCACUUAUAGAUGGAUCCGCGCCGUAUUAGCUAGUUGGUAAGGUAACGGCUUACCAAGGCAACGAUACGUAGCCGACCUGAGAGGGUGAUCGGCCACACUGGACCUGAGACACGGUCCAGACUCCUACGGGAGGCAGCAGUAGGGAAUCUUCCGCAAUGGGCGAAAGCCUGACGGAGCAACGCCGCGUGAGUGAUGAAGGUCUUCGGAUCGUAAAACUCUGUUAUCAGGGAAGAACAAAUGUGUAAGUAACUGUGCACAUCUUGACGGUACCUGAUCAGAAAGCCACGGCUAACUACGUG
rnacentral:rRNA from 1 species